GGUGGAAAGCUGAUCUGUAGUUAGUUCUAAUUACUCCUUCCUUCAUGGACUGUGCUAGUACAGAAGUCCUUCCCAAUUGGUUCUGAAUUGACCAUGAUGCAUUUCAAGGAGAAACACCUGGGAUCUAAAUGGAUUCCAAUUCUAACUCUUAAAGAAUGCAGUGGGACGCUCCAUAAAGAAGCAGUGCUGGGUUUCAUUGCAAGAGCAAACCCUGGAAGUGGUGAUGUCACACUUUAAUUAGUAAAUUGGAAACUGGUCUGGGCUGGUUUUAGGCAGUUUGGAAUCCCCAGCCAGCAAGUCGGGCAGUCCUGUUGUUGAUCUGAAUAGGAGAGCAAGCAGCACCCAGAUCACAAAGUGAAGAAGUGUAUCUCUACCCACAAACCAAAUGGCACAAUCAUCGAAAAGAGCAAAGCUACUGUGUGACUGGCACGGUGUUUCACGGAACACUGCGUUCUCCCGAUCGCCGCCGCCCCCUUUGAACUUACUUCCAGAAACUGCGGGUGUUUCAUCAGCGUGUGGUCGAAGACGAAGUAAUAACUCAGAGACCCCA